AUCGCUUCUCGGCCUUUUGGCUAAGAUCAAGUGUAUAAAUCUGUUCUUUCCCUGCCUAUUUCGGUUAAGUUAAAGCCCACCCUCU
ensembl:snRNA U2 U2 spliceosomal RNA